rnacentral:rRNA from 1 species
ACUCCUGCGGGAGGCAGCAGUGGGGAAUAUUGGACAAUGGGCGCAAGCCUGAUCCAGCCAUGCCGCGUGAGUGAUGAAGGCCCUAGGGUUGUAAAGCUCUUUCACCGGUGAAGAUAAUGACGGUAACCGGAGAAGAAGCCCCGGCUAACUUCGUGCCAGCAGCCGCGGUAAUACGAAGGGGGCUAGCGUUGUUCGGAUUUACUGGGCGUAAAGCGCACGUAGGCGGACUAUUAAGUCAGGGGUGAAAUCCCGGGGCUCAACCCCGGAACUGCCUUUGAUACUGGUAGUCUUGAGUUCGAGAGAGGUGAGUGGAAUUCCGAGUGUAGAGGUGAAAUUCGUAGAUAUUCGGAGGAACACCAGUGGCGAAGGCGGCUCACUGGCUCGAUACUGACGCUGAGGUGCGAAAGCGUGGGGAGCAAACAGGAUUAGAUACCCCAGUAGUCC